AAACUUUCAGCAACGGAUCUCUUGGCUCUGGCAUCGAUGAAGAACGCAGCGAAAUGCGAUACGUAAUGUGAAUUGCAGAACUCAGUGAAUCAUCGAAUCUUUGAACGCACAUUGCGCCCGCUAGUAUUCUAGCGGGCAUGCCUGUUCGAGCGUUAUUU
rnacentral:rRNA from 1 species